AUACGUAGGUGACAAGCGUUAUCCGGAUUUACUGGGCGUAAAGGGCGUGUAGGCGGUCUUGCAAGUCAGAAGUGAAAUUCCUGAGCUCAACUCGGGCGCUGCUUCUGAAACUGCAGGACUUGAGUGCUGGAGGGGAUAGCGGAAUUCCUAGUGGAGCGGUAAAAUGCGCAGAUAUUAGGAAGAACACCGGUGGCGAAGGCGGCUAUCUGGACAGUAACUGACGCUGAGGCGCGAAAGCGUGGGGAGCAAACAGGAUUAGAUUCCCUGGUAGUCCACACUGUAAACGAUGAAUGCUAGGUGUAGGGGGUAUCGACCCCUUCUGUGCCGCAGUCAACACAAUAAGCAUUCCGCCUGGGGAGUACGGCCGCAAGGUUGAAACUCAAAUGAAUUGACGGGG
rnacentral:rRNA from 1 species